CCUACGGGAGGCAGCAGUGAGGAAUAUUGGUCAAUGGACGCAAGUCUGAACCAGCCAUGCCGCGUGCAGGAAGACGGCUCUAUGAGUUGUACACUGCUUUUGUACGAGGGUAAACGCAGAUACGUGUAUCUGUCUGAAAGUAUCGUACGAAUAAGGAUCGGCUAACUCCGUGCCAGCAGCCGCGGUAAUACGGAGGAUUCAAGCGUUAUCCGGAUUUAUUGGGUUUAAAGGGUGCGUAGGCGGUCGGAUAAGUUAGAGGUGAAAUCCCGAGGCUCAACUUCGGAAUUGCCUUUGAAACUGUUCGGCUAGAGAGUAGUUGCGGUAGGCGGAAUGUAUGGUGUAGCGGUGAAAUGCUUAGAGAUCAUACAGAACACCGAUUGCGAAGGCAGCUUACCAGGCUACUUCUGACGUUGAGGCACGAAAGCGUGGGGAGCAAACAGGAUUAGAUACCCCUGUAGUC
rnacentral:rRNA from 1 species